UUGCUCGACCCAGCACAGGCAGUGUGAUCCUCUGGUCUUCUGGUACCAGUGAUGUGGGAAAGGAUGCUAGGCUUAGCAGACACAGCUCAGAGGAAAAGCCUCUAUCAACACGUGUUACAGUUUGAAAUCAACUUUGGAGAUUGGACUUCCCUGGCUGCUUCACCCUGCUGAGACCCGUCACAAUCUGAUCCUCCUGAGAUGAGGCAUGAC